rnacentral:rRNA from 1 species
UACGUAGGUGGCAAGCGUUGUCCGGAAUUAUUAGGCGUAAAGCGCGCGCAGGCGGUCCUUUAAGUCUGAUGUGAAAGCCCACGGCUCAACCGUGGAGGGUCAUUGGAAACUGGGGGACUUGAGUACAGAAGAGAAGAGUGGAAUUCCACGUGUAGCGGUGAAAUGCGUAGAGAUGUGGAGGAACACCAGUGGCGAAGGCGACUCUUUGGUCUGUAACUGACGCUGAGGCGCGAAAGCGUGGGGAGCAAACAGG